rnacentral:rRNA from 1 species
ACUGCUCAGUAACACGUGGAUAACCUGCCCUGCGGUGGGAAAUAACCCCGGGAAACUGGGGAUAAUGUCCCAUAGGCUACGGAUGCUGGAAUGCUCUGUAGCUCAAAGAUUUAUCGCCCCAGGAUGGGUCUGCGGCCGAUUAGGUAGUUGUUGGGGUAACGGCCCAACAAGCCUUUGAUCGGUACGGGUUGUGGGAGCAAGAGCCCGGAGAUGGAUUCUGAGACACGAAUCCAGGCCCUACGGGGCGCAGCAGGCGCGAAAACUUUACAAUGCGGGAAACCGUGAUAAGGGAACUCCGAGUGUCCGUAAAUGCGGACUGUCCGUAUGUUUAAAAAGCAUGCGAAGAAAGGGCCGGGCAAGACCGGUGCCAGUCGCCGCGGUAAUACCGGCGGCUCGAGUGGUGGCCACUAUUACUGGGCUUAAAGCGUUCGUAGCUGGGUUGUUAAGUCUCUUGGGAAAUCUACCGGCUUAACCGAUAGGCGUCCAAGGGAUACUGGCAAUCUAGGGACCGGGAGAGGUGAGGGGUACUUCAGGGGUAGGAGUGAAAUCCUGUAAUCCUUGGGGGACCACCUGUGGCGUAGGCGCCUCACCAGAACGGCUCCGACAGUGAGGGACGAAAGCUGGGGGAGCAAACCGGAUUAGAUACCCGGGUAGUCCCAGCCGUAAACGAUGCGCGUUAGGUGUAUCGAUGACCACGAGUCAUCGAGGUGCCGAAGGGAAACCGUGAAACGCGCCGCCUGGGAAGUACGGUCGCAAGGCUGAAACUUAAAGGAAUUGGCGGGGGAGCAC